rnacentral:rRNA from 1 species
GGAGCACUGCAACGGGAGGAGCGUGCGGUUUAAUUGGAUUCAACGCCGGAAAACUCACCGGGAGCGACUGUUACAUGAAGGCCAGUUCGAAGACAUUGCCUGAUUUUCAGAGAGGUGGUGCAUGGCCGUCGUCAGUUCGUACCGCAAGGCGUUCUGUUAAGUCAGAUAACGAACGAGACCCCUGUCCUUAUUUGCUAAAUUGCCCUUCGGGGUGACAGCACUACAAGGAGACCGCCACUGCUAAAGUGGAGGAAGGAGGGGGCAACGGUAGGUCAGUAUGCCCCGAAUCUCCCGGGCUACACGCGCGCUACAAAGGAUGGGACAAUGGGCUCCGACACCGAAAGGUGAUGGCAAUCCCGAAACCCAUUCAUAGUUCGGAUUGAGGACUGUAAUCCGUCCUCAUGAAGCUGGAUUCCGUAGUAAUCGCGGGUCAACAUCUCGGUG